rnacentral:rRNA from 1 species
UACGUAGGGUGCGAGCGUUAAUCGGAAUUACUGGGCGUAAAGCGUGCGCAGGCGGCUUCGCAAGUCAGACGUGAAAUCCCCGGGCUUAACCUGGGAACUGCAUUUGUGACUGCAUCGCUGGAGUGCGGCAGAGGGGGAUGGAAUUCCGCGUGUAGCAGUGAAAUGCGUAGAUAUGCGGAGGAACACCGAUGGCGAAGGCAAUCCCCUGGGCCUGCACUGACGCUCAGGCACGAAAGCGUGGGGAGCAAACAGG